UGUAUACCUGUGUGCUGUAAAAACAAAAGUGUAUUGUCCCUGUGAUAUUUGUCAGGUCUCCACCAUCAGACACUUGAUCUCUACAGGCAGGAAUACUAGCUACUGUGUAUUAUCUCCAGUGGGUAAUUCACCCCUGGUCCCCAAUCCUGGUUCUGCUCGCUGCACAGAAGGUGGCUUAUUAUAUGCAAGAGCCUGACUGUAUGAAUGGGCUGCUCCAGGAAGCAUUUGAAGAUGAAAAUCUUAUUCUAAGAGAAGCAUAUUACAAAAAGGAAGAAUAAAAUAAAGAGAUGAGAGCGAAAGCAGGAGGGGGAAAGAGAACAAAGAAAACACAGACAAAUGAACAAAGAGAAUGAUCAGAAACCUCUCAUCAAAGCCAAUCAGCAUUGCUAAUGUAUUGGUCAUGUUCCAGCCUUGAGAAGUCAAACUGAGCCAACAUUAUUAAAGUCCUGCAAAAUCAAAAGAGUCAAGACCCUUUCUCCACCAAAUGAUCCUUUUUUCCUUCAGUUUUCUGGAUAUGGAGACUUGAUUACAGCACAUUCUCGUAAUUAUAAGGUCUACUUUGAACACAUUGCUUUAUUCCUAGAAAGUCAAUGGCCAUUAAUGAUUUUAUCGCUGAAAUUGGUGGUUACAGGUGGGCAUUUGUAGUUUUAACGUGAGCUAUCUUUCAAAGAGAACAUGGUUAAUAUGAUUUAAUAGGAACUACAUGUUUUUAUGAAUCUAUAGAAUUCUCAUUUCCCACUGAUUAAAUGAAACUUCUGAAGCUUCAAAGAAUGUCUAGGUGAAAAAUGGGCUGAAUUCUCCUAUUUGGAAACCUGUAUGCUCUCAUUUCUGCCCAGGUGCAGUAUUUAUACCACUGAAUCUAUAUUCAAUCUAAUUUCCACUCAGUCCAA
rnacentral:lncRNA from 1 species